AGCUAUUUUGCUGGAGAAAAAAAAAAUGAUUCCUAACUCCUACAAUUUCCCAUUCUUUGGACUUCGCUGAUUUUAUUUCCACAGCAUUGGUUGGAAGUGCCUCUGAUUUCAUUGUGAGAAAUAAAGAAGAGGAAACAGGAGCAGAGCUUUUCACAUGUUUGCAUCCUCUGUCUGAGAAGCUCACCAUUUAUUAUUAAUGAAGACACCUGCCAUGAUGUUCUACCUCACCUCAUCCCCAGAGUAAGGGAGUCAUCUAAGCAUGGACUGAAAUUUCUCAAACUCACUCUGAACUUACUGCUUUAUUUUUACCUGGCUCAGGAGUGGCUGUGCAGGUGUCAGUGACCCAAUUACUUUCCUACAGAAGGAGAUGCCUUCAAUCCUGCCAUUUCUAAAGAAGAAACCGAGUGACAGAAACACAUAAGAAGCUUACCCAACAAAGAUGAGAGGGACUUGAAGCCCCAUCCAGGCACCAAAUGUGAAUUCCUACAUGUUGGUUCUUCCAUAUCCCAAGAGUACUAGGUUUUCCAAAGUGAUGAAGCAUUCAUUUUCAUAUUUUUCUUGUGUUGAGGUCAUAUUCAGCAGUAUUUAAUGGUGUAGACAGUGAAUCUCUGCCCAAUAAUUCUAAAGGAAAACAAAGGUUUCAGUUCACUUCGUUGGAAAGAAUAAUUUCUGUACAAUCCUAAAAGUUAGGAAGGAAAAUAAAAUCUCCAACUGUG